GGGCUUGUAGCUCAGGUGGUUAGAGCGCACGCCUGAUAAGCGUGAGGUCGGAGGUUCGAGUCCUCCCAAG
rnacentral:tRNA from 1 species